rfam:Flavobacterium sp. ABG contig20, whole genome shotgun sequence.
UUGUCACAACAAAAAAAGAAAUGAGAACAAUUUUAAACAAUACUUGGUGGUGGAAGAAUUUACGUCAAACGUCGUGAACGAAGCUUCCUAUGGUACUUUAAAAACUAUAAAUAUAAAAGGCUUGUC